rnacentral:rRNA from 1 species
AGUGAACGCUGGCGGUAGGCCUAACACAUGCAAGUCGAACGGCAGCACAGUAAGAGCUUGCUCUUACGGGUGGCGAGUGGCGGACGGGUGAGGAAUACAUCGGAAUCUACUUUUUCGUGGGGGAUAACGUAGGGAAACUUACGCUAAUACCGCAUACGACCUACGGGUGAAAGCAGGGGAUCUUCGGACCUUGCGCGAUUGAAUGAGCCGAUGUCGGAUUAGCUAGUUGGCGGGGUAAAGGCCCACCAAGGCGACGAUCCGUAGCUGGUCUGAGAGGAUGAUCAGCCACACUGGAACUGAGACACGGUCCAGACUCCUACGGGAGGCAGCAGUGGGGAAUAUUGGACAAUGGGCGCAAGCCUGAUCCAGCCAUACCGCGUGGGUGAAGAAGGCCUUCGGGUUGGAAAGCCCUUUUGUUGGGAAAGAAAAGCAGCAGGUUAAUACCCCGCUGUUCUGACGGGACCCAAAGAAUAAGCACCGGCUAACGUCG